UUUACAUUUGAGAAUGAAGCUCAGCUGAAGUUUGAACAGCAUACUGACAUAUACCAACAAGAAUGAAAAUAACUUAACAGCAAUUUUAUAAAUUCACAUCCCCCAGAGCACCACAGAGUAAAGAAAUACUGCAUAUGGGUAACAACUGGUUCUUAGUUACUAAAUCUGAAAGAUCAAAUACAGUUAAUUACAUAAGCUUCUCUUGAGUUUUUCUGGGGGAAUAUACCAGGAGACCAUAAUCAAGGUUUCUGGUAUUGCACUAAACACGAUGAAAAACAGGAGAGAACGGAGAGGGAUCAUGUUUUACCACAAUAUGCAAUUUAUGGGAGAGAUGAAGCGCUCAGGUGGAGAUGACUAGUGUCACGUGGUGUUUUAAGUGGAUACUCACAACGCUGGAACUCACAGCAAUAACAACAAGAGAUCCUCUAUAGACUGUUGAUGUAUAGCCAUGAGAAAAAAAAAAGAAAAAUUUUUGCUCUCAAUGAGCUUGCAUUUAAGCAUCUAUAAAAGGUGAGAUUAAUAUUUACUCAGUGAACUUUGAGUAAAGCAUUGGGUGCUUCAUUAUGUGGAGGAGUCUCAUCCAAUCAGUUGAAGGUGACUGAAUGGAACUAUAGAUCGACCUCACAUAAAUGAGAGGGAAUUCUGCAACAGAUCAUCUUUGCCUUUGAACUGCAGCAUGGACUCCCCUCUGGGUCUCCUGCCUGCCAGCCCACCCUGCAGAGUGCAUUUGCCAGCCUCCACAAUCAGGUAAUUUAUCCUGUGCAUUAACAAGAGGAAGUCUAGAGCCAUGGAAACCAAGUCAGGAAACUUCUCUCUUAUUAUUAGGUCCACUGCAAAUCUAGUUGAGACUGCAAAUCGAGCUAAUGAUAUCUUAAGUUAGAACAUCAUGCCAAGAGAAGUAUGUUUUCAACCAAGAAAGCAAAAUCAACAUGAUCCUAAAUGAACUGCUUCUGCAUGUCAACAGUCUUGAUAUACCUGAGAGAGUGAGAUACAGAGUAUGUUGUUAAACUUUUUAUAAUUACAAAUAUUGCUUGUAUUUCUUUUGAAAUUUGCCACACGCUGAUAUUAAAAAUAAUAGAUAGA
rnacentral:lncRNA from 10 species